GGAUCUGUCCAGACACUCCAGGUCUCCAUGGCCACAAGCCCAAAGUUGCACAGGGAGGUCAUAAGAAAAGACCUUAGAAGCAGUCUGCUCUUUGAACCCUGGGAUUAUUCACUGACCAGCCAAAAAGGUGACAACUGUUCUGAUGGCCCAGGUCAUCUCCUCCCCCAACCUCCCCAGCAUCCCUGAUCACUUCAAGGGCUGCUGAGCC
rnacentral:lncRNA from 1 species